GACGAACGCUGGCGGCGUGCCUAAUACAUGCAAGUAGAACGCACAGUUUAUACCGUAGCUUGCUACACCAUAGACUGUGAGUUGCGAACGGGUGAGUAACGCGUAGGUAACCUGCCUGGUAGCGGGGGAUAACUAUUGGAAACGAUAGCUAAUACCGCAUAAUAUUAAUUAUUGCAUGAUAAUUAAUUGAAAGGUGCAAUUGCACCACUACCAGAUGGACCUGCGUUGUAUUAGCUAGUAGGUGAGGUAACGGCUCACCUAGGCGACGAUACAUAGCCGACCUGGGAAGGUGAUCGGCCACACUGGGACUGGGACACGGCCCAGACUCCUACGGGAGGCAGCAGUAGGGGAUCUUCGGCAAUGGACGAAAGUCUGACCGAGCAACGCCGCGUGAGUGAAGAAGGGUUUCGGAUCGUAAAGCUCUGUUGUAAGAGAAGAACGGGUGUGAGAGUGGAAAGUUCACACUGUGACGGUAUCUUACCAGAAAGGGACGGCUAACUACGUG
rnacentral:rRNA from 1 species